rnacentral:misc_RNA from 1 species
GAUGAAGAACGUAGCGAAAUGCGAUACUUGGUGUGAAUUGCAGAAUCCCGUGAACCAUCGAGUCUUUGAACGCAAGUUGCGCCCGAGGCCUCCUGGUCGAGGGCACGUCUGCCUGGGUGUCACGCAUCGUCGCCCCCUCUCCCCUCGGCUCGCGAGGGCGGGGGCGGAUACUGGUCUCCCGUGCUCAUGGCGCGGUUGGCCGAAAUAGGAGUCCCUUCGAUGGACGCACGAACUAGUGGUGGUCGUAAAAACCCUCGUCUUUUGUUUCGUGCCGUUAGUCGCGAGGGAAGCUCUUCAAAAACCCCAGCGCGUCGUCUCUUGACGGCGCUUCGACCGCGACCCCAGGUCAGGCGGGACUACCCGCUGAGUUUAAGCAUAUCAAUAAGCGGAGGA